UACGUAGGGAGCAAGCGUUGUCCGGAUUUAUUGGGCGUAAAGAGCUCGUAGGCGGUUUAGAAAGUCAGGUGUGAAACCUCCAGCUCAACCUGGAGACGCCACUUGAUACUUCUAUGACUUGAGUUCGGUAGGGGACCAUGGAAUUCCUGGUGUAGCGGUGAAAUGCGCAGAUAUCAGGAGGAACACCGGUGGCGAAGGCGGGUCUCUGGGCAGUAACUGACGCUGAGGAGCGAAAGCGUGGGGAGCGAACAGG
rnacentral:rRNA from 1 species